UACGUAGGGGGCUAGCGUUGUCCGGAAUCAUUGGGCGUAAAGCGCGCGUAGGCGGUCAGGUAAGUCCGGUGUGAAAGUCAAAGGCUCAACCUUUGAAUGCCGCUGGAUACUGCCUGACUUGAGUCCGGAAGGGGCGAGUGGAAUUCCUGGUGUAGCGGUGAAAUGCGCAGAUAUCAGGAGGAACACCAAUAGCGAAGGCAGCUCGCUGGGACGGUACUGACGCUAAGGCGCGAAAGCGUGGGGAGCGAACAGG
rnacentral:rRNA from 1 species